rnacentral:lncRNA from 1 species
CUGGUUCUGCAUUUCAAGUACUAACAAAAGUAAACGCUCAAAUAUAAUUGUGGAAUACAGCAACGCGCGACCUUCAUACAAACACCUAAACUUCAGCUUUAAGGAAGUGAGGGCUAAUCAAACGAGCAACAUCUAGCAUACCAACUCGGUCUCUCCCAUCAAAUAUCUUCUUCAACUUCUCAUCACAAUUUAUAGUCCUCUUGUCUUCAGGGUCCUAUCACAAAACAACCACAAUUCAGUUAUAACUAAUCCAAAGUAAAUGCCAGAUAGAAACAGAACAACAUACUACAUGAAAAUAACGCAGCACCAAACUACUAAAAAUCCCCUUUCAAAAAAGAAGAAUGAAGCAAACCCUAACAAUAAGGAAAGAAAAAUUUGACAGUGGUGGAAAAGAAGAGAAGAAAUUAGGUAUUUGGAAAAGGAGGGAACCUGGAGAUUGUUGUCCUUGAUAUAAGCCCAAAUGAGUUUGAGGGCUUGGGUUCUGGCAAUCUCCUGAGCGCCGACGAGGGCUGCCAUCUCAGGGGUCACUCGGCGGGGUUUCAUGAUGCCACGGAUUUUGCGGGUUCCUUGCUCCGAGUGAGAGACGGUGCAAGAGGUAACGGUUCGCACCAUGCGCAGCCCAGAAGCAGAAGCAGAACGCGAAGGCCUCGCCAAGCUCAGAGUGUGGGAUUCUGGAGGGAGAAUGGAGGAAGAGAAGAGCCCAAAAGAGAGAGACAUAGCUACAGCCAUAGCCACACUAUCUAACCAGAGACAGAAACAAAGAGAGAAAGAGAGAAA